rnacentral:rRNA from 1 species
GACGAACGCUGGCGGCGUGCCUAAUACAUGCAAGUCGAACGCAGUGGGGACGGGUGAGUAACACGUGGGUAACCUCCCAUCAGAGGGGAUAACACUUGGAAACAGGUGCUAAUCCGAUACUGAUGGAUGGACCCGCGGUGCAUUAGCUAGUGGGUGGGGUAACGGCUCACCUAGGCGACGAUCCCUAGAUGGUCUUAGAGGAUGACCGGCCACACUGUGACUGAGACACGGUCCAGACUCCUACGGGAGGCAGCAGUGGGGAAUAUUGGACAAUGGGCGCAAGCCUGAUGCAGCCAUGCCGCGUGUGUGAAGAAGGCUUUCGGGUUGUAAAGCACUGUCAGCGGGGAGGCGUUACCCGCAGAGGAAGCACCGGCUAACUCCGUGCCAGCAGCCGCGGUAAUUC